AUGACGGGAGCUUGCUCCUUGAUUCAGCGGCGGACGGGUGAGUAAUGCCUAGGAAUCUGCCUGGUAGUGGGGGACAACGUUUCGAAAGGAACGCUAAUACCGCAUACGUCCUACGGGAGAAAGUGGGGGAUCUUCGGACCUCACGCUAUCAGAUGAGCCUAGGUCGGAUUAGCUAGUUGGUGAGGUAAUGGCUCACCAAGGCGACGAUCCGUAACUGGUCUGAGAGGAUGAUCAGUCACACUGGAACUGAGACACGGUCCAGACUCCUACGGGAGGCAGCAGUGGGGAAUAUUGGACAAUGGGCGAAAGCCUGAUCCAGCCAUGCCGCGUGUGUGAAGAAGGUCUUCGGAUUGUAAAGCACUUUAAGUUGGGAGGAAGGGCAGUAAGUUAAUACCUUGCUGUUUUGACGUUACCGACAGAAUAAGCACCGGCUAACUCUGUGCCAGCAGCCGCGGUAAUACAGAGGGUGCAAGCGUUAAUCGGAAUUACUGGGCGUAAAGCGCGCGUAGGUGGUUCGUUAAGUUGGAUGUGAAAGCCCCGGGCUCAACCUGGGAACUGCAUCCAAAACUGGCGAGCUAGAGUACGGUAGAGGGUGGUGGAAUUUCCUGUGUAGCGGUGAAAUGCGUAGAUAUAGGAAGGAACACCAGUGGCGAAGGCGACCACCUGGACUGAUACUGACACUGAGG
rnacentral:rRNA from 1 species